UUUUCUUUUUUGUAGCAAAUUUUUACAAUUCUUUGGUUUAAAUGACUUUGUGAGGGUCACCUAUACCGGAGUUGACUUUUUGCUUUCUUUUAUUUUUUUGUUUUCCUGGAUCAUUCACUUAUUUGCAUCGGUCCCCUACGUAGAGGAUGCUUAGGCCGGAGCUGACUGCUGAGAUAAACCACUGAGGACUUAUACGGAAAUGAUGAUUAAGGCCAUGGUAUAUGGGGUUUCGGGAGUAGUUCCUAUAUUUACG
rnacentral:lncRNA from 1 species